rnacentral:rRNA from 1 species
CCCUUAGACACUCUAGGCGGCACGCGCGCUACAAUGGGUGGAAGACCGUGUUACUGCCUUCGAAAGAAGGGGUGAAUCACGAAUUCUUACCCGUGAAUGGGAUAGUUUGUUGCAAUUUUCGGACUUGAACUAGGAAUCCCUUGUAAGCAUGCUCAAGAAUAGCGUGUUGAAUACGUCCCUGCCGUUUGUACACACCGCCCGUCGCACCUACCGAUUGAAUGGUCCGGUGAAGCCUCCGGAUUGGCGCGCACCUCGGUGCCGCCGAGAAGUUGGCUAAACCUUACCAUUUAGAGGAAGGUGAAGUCGUAACA